GGGACAACCUGGAGCUAUUCUCCUUUUCUUUUCUCAGACCCUAAGAGCUGGCAAAUCUCCUGAUCCUUGGUAUAGAAGACCAUGGGGCUGUUUAUAACAAGAGAAAACUGUCUUGCAACAAUUGAUGCUGUUGGUCUUUGGAGAUAUUCAUAAAUCUGCAUCCAUGUGGAGGCCAUUAAAUGCCCAGAUGCUACAUUUCCUGCAACCCUGGCUUGCUUUUUAGAGAUUAAAAAAAAAAAAAGAGAAAAUGAUU